UCCCACUGAGUUACUCUAACAUUUUGUGUCUAUCUUCGGUGUAAACCAGUUUCUUCCUGCACCAGAGAGAUGGGAAGAUCAAUUUGAUAUCUUAUCCAAAUAAAAAUGUGCAGAAACUUCAGAAAACUUGGAAUCGAUUCCUCUGCUCCUGUCUGAUUAGCCCUGACCUCACCUUGAAAACCACUAACGACAUUAUUCAAAGGUAUUCGACAUUAUCUUACAACUUUACAAAAGACUGUUGAAGCCACAAUAGAUUGUGCAAUAUGCAUUGGUUUUCUCAAUUACUGAAGAAACUAAUGAACAUUGUCAUUCACGAACUCGCUAAUCAUCUCUCCAUCAUUCACAUCAAGAUUCUUCAUGGACAUCAUAAGCAACAGGGUUCCGGCAAUGAUCUCCACAGCACAUCACUGGACAUCGACUUCUAAUAGACAAUAGAAAAGUAGCAGUGCCCUCUGCCCCCUGCAUAGACAACAUCUACUGCCAUGCCACCAUUAAUCUCCCCUGUUACUCCCUCAGGCAACUCAAGGUCAAUGAGGUCAGAUCUACCCCACACAAACCUAUGCUAUCUCUCUCUGAUCAGCUCCUGGCUUUCUAAAUGAACAUAGGUUCUAACUUUCAGGAGUUUCUCCAAUAAGUUCUCCGGCACCGUCGACAAUGUCAUGGAGCUGUACAGCACCAAGAUUGGCCCAAGUUGCCCAACCGCGCUAGUCAGACUUCUCUGCAUCUGGCCCCUAUCUCUCUGAACCUUUCCUAUCCAUGUACCUGUCCAAGUGUAUUUUAAAUGUCAUAAAUAUCCCCUCCUCUACUUCCUCUGGCAGCUCAUUCCACAUACACAUCAUCCUUCUAAAAAAGUUGCUCCAUUGGUCCAUUUAUUUAAAUCUUCCCCCUCUCACCUUAAACCUAUACCUGCUAGUUUUGGACUCCCUACCCUGGGCAAAAGUCUGUGAUUAUUCACCUUGGCUGUGCCCCUCGUCAUUUUAUAUAACCAUAAGAUCACCUCUCAGUGUUCCGCGAUCCAGAGAGAAAAGACACGACCUAUCCAGCCUCUCCGAAUAACUGAAAACGUCCAGACCUGACAACAUCCUCACAUCAAUUUGCAUGCUUUCCAAAUUAAUUACAUAUUUUCUAUAGCAGAGUGAGAACAGGACUGUGCACAGUACUCCAAGUGUAUGUCUUGUACGAUUGUAACAUCACGUCCCAGCUCCUGUAAUAAAUAACCUGACUGAUGAAGGCAAGCAUGCCAAAUGCUGUCUUUCACAUUCUGUCUACCUGUCUCACCACUUACAUGGAUCUGCAUUGUACAUGCACCUCGUGGUUUCCAAGGUCCUACCAUUUACUGUACAAGUUUGUCCUGGUGUGACUUAUCAAAAUGCAACAUCUCACAUUUAUCUGAACUCCACCUGUCAUUACUUGACUCAUUGGUCCAGUUGAUCACAUUGUAACCUUUCUCACCGUUUACUAUACCAAUGUGUUACGAACCAUGCCAUCCACAUUCACAUCUAUAAUAGACCCUGUAGGGCAUGACAUGUUAUAGGCUAGUCAUGCUAGACCCUCUACCACAGCUCACCUUCAUCUACCUCCAAGCCAAUUGUGGCAUUAAGCUGGAAAUAGUGCAGAGAAGUUUUACCAGAAUGUUGCUGGGACUCAAGGGCCUGAACUAUGAGCAGAGAAUGGGCACGCUAGGACUUUAUUGCUUUGAGUGCAGUAGGUAAAAUCAUGAGAGCAAUUGUAAAGGUCAAUUGUAAGCACAGUCUUUUAACCAGCGUAAGAGAAUCAAGAACUAAAGAACAGAGGGAGAAGGUGAGACGGGAAAGAUUUAAUAACAACAUUUAAAGGACAAUUGGACAAUUACAUGGAUAGAAAAGUUAUGAAGGGAUAUGGGCCAAAUGCCGGAUGGUGGGACAAGCGGGGACAAGUGAGUCAACAAUGUGGAUUCCGUGUCCGUGCAGCUAACUGGAAAGAAAGUGUAGGAAAGGUCAAGUCUAAACUAACAGGGCAGGAGGAUGGGACCCAAUGCAAGAGACAGAGGGCUAUAAAUGGAGGACAGAAGCAGAGGGAGAUAA